AUUGAACGCUGGCGGCAGGCCUAACACAUGCAAGUCGAGCGAGCGGCGGACGGGUGAGUAAUGUCUGGGAAACUGCCUGAUGGCGGGGGAUAACUACUGGAAACGGUAGCUAAUACCGCAUACCAUCAGAUGUGCCCAGAUGGGCUUAGCUAGUAGGUGGGGUAACGGCUCACCUAGGCGCCGAUCCCUAGCUGGUCUGAGAGGAUGACCAGCCACACUGGAACGGGGACACGGGCCAGACUCCUACGGGAGGCAGCAGUGGUGAAUUUUGCACAAUGGGCGCAAGCCUGAUGCAGCCAUGCCGCGUGUGUGAAGAAGGCCUUAGGGUGGUAAAGCACUUUCAGCUGGGAGGCGUUACCCGCAGAAGAAGCACCGGCUAACUCCGUGCCAGCAGCCGCGGUAAUAC
rnacentral:rRNA from 1 species